rnacentral:rRNA from 2 species
GGGGAUUAGUGGCGAACGGGUGAGAACACGGUGGGCAAUCUGCCCUGCACUCUGGGACAAGCCCUGGAAACGGGGUCUAAUACCGGAUAUGACUGUCCAUCGCAUGGUGGAUGGUGUAAAGCUCCGGCGGUGCAGGAUGAGCCCGCGGCCUAUCAGCUUGUUGGUGAGGUAGUGGCUCACCAAGGCGACGACGGGUAGCCGGCCUGAGAGGGCGACCGGCCACACUGGGACUGAGACACGGCCCAGACUCCUACGGGAGGCAGCAGUGGGGAAUAUUGCACAAUGGGCGAAAGCCUGAUGCAGCGACGCCGCGUGAGGGAUGACGGCCUUCGGGUUGUAAACCUCUUUCAGCAGGGAAGAAGCGAAAGUGACGGUACCUGCAGAAGAAGCGCCGGCUAACUACGUGCCAGCAGCCGCGGUAAUACGUAGGGCGCAAGCGUUGUCCGGAAUUAUUGGGCGUAAAGAGCUCGUAGGCGGCUUGUCACGUCGGUUGUGAAAGCCCGGGGCUUAACCCCGGGUCUGCAGUCGAUACGGGCAGGCUAGAGUUCGGUAGGGGAGAUCGGAAUUCCUGGUGUAGCGGUGAAAUGCGCAGAUAUCAGGAGGAACACCGGUGGCGAAGGCGGAUCUCUGGGCCGAUACUGACGCUGAGGAGCGAAAGCGUGGGGAGCGAACAGGAUUAGAUACCCUGGUAGUCCACGCCGUAAACGGUGGGCACUAGGUGUGGGCAACAUUCCACGUUGUCCGUGCC